rnacentral:rRNA from 1 species
UACGUAGGGUGCGAGCGUUGUCCGGAAUUAUUGGGCGUAAAGGGCUCGUAGGCGGUUUGUCGCGUCGGGAGUGAAAUCCACUGGCUUAACUGGUGGCUUGCUUUCGAUACGGGCAGACUGGAGGUAUGCAGGGGAGAACGGAAUUCCUGGUGUAGCGGUGAAAUGCGCAGAUAUCAGGAGGAACACCGGUGGCGAAGGCGGGUCUCUGGGCAACUACUGACGCUGAGGAGCGAAAGCGUGGGGAGCGAACAGG